GACGAACGCUGGCGGCGUGCUUAACACAUGCAAGUCGAACGGGCCUGUCUUCUUUUUUGGGGGCGGGUUGAGUGGCGAACGGGUGAGUAUCACGUGAGUAACCUGCCCUUCGGUCCUGGAUAACCGCUUGAAAGGGCGGCUAAUACGGGGUGGUCCGGUUGGUCCGCAUGGGCUGGUCGGGAUAGAUUCACUGUUUUUGGUGUUUCGGCGGGGGAUGGGGUCGCGGCCUAUCGGCUUGUUGGUGGGGUGAUGGCCUACCAAGGCGGUGACGGGUAGCCGGCGUGGGGGGGGGGCAGGCCGCAAGUGAACUGAGAUACGGCCUAGACUCCUGCGGGGGGCAGCAGUGGCGUGUAUUGCGCGAUGGGCGGAAGCCUGAUGCAGCGACGUCGCGUGUGAAGUGGAGGCGUUCGGGUUGUGAUCUUCUGUGUGCGGUGGUGAAGGCCCUGUCCGUGUGGUGAGGUUGACGGUAGCCGGGGAGAAAGCGCCGGCUAACUACGUG
rnacentral:rRNA from 1 species